UACGGGGGGGGCAAGCGUUGUUCGGAAUUACUGGGCGUAAAGGGCUCGUAGGCGGCCAGCUAAGUCAGACGUGAAAUCCCUCGGCUUAACCGGGGAACUGCAUCUGAUACUGGAUGGCUUGAGUUUGGGAGAGGGAUGCGGAAUUCCAGGUGUAGCGGUGAAAUGCGUAGAUAUCUGGAGGAACACCGGUGGCGAAGGCGGCAUCCUGGACCAACACUGACGCUGAGGAGCGAAAGCCAGGGGAGCAAACGGG
rnacentral:rRNA from 1 species